CUCUACACGAAAAAAUAUAAACAUAGAAACGUAGUAAAAGUCUCAUCUACAUCUAAGCACAAAGCAUAACGUGAAGGAAAUCUCAGAAAACAUGCUUGUACAAAAUGGACAAUGAAGAUAGUCUGCCCAGAACAGUCUUUCAGUAAACGAUUCUCUCUAUGAUAAAUUGGCUCAAACUAGAAGCCUCUAAAAAAGAGCCUUACUGCAGGAGCACAGAGAUCUCUCAGUGCAGAUUGCUCAAGACUUUGGACUGGAAUACUGGUGUCAGAACUGAGCUAAUGCCUGCCUGCUUAACAAGAAUUUGUUUCUAGCAGCCUCUGUUCCACAGUAGCAAUGUUCUGCCAGAGGACGAAAGGAAUCCAAGACACUUUCCUUUGUUCCUGUUCUAGCCUUAGUCAUUUGUUUUGGACAAAAUUCAGCUGUCACCCACAUGGAAGACUAACCUAUGAGGAAGUACAGAAACAGCUGGUGCUUGAGCUGUUAUUGCAACCAGUGUAUGCUGCAUUCCUAACCAAGUCCUGCUUUUCUGUUAUAUGGAAAUAUUAAAGCAAAUCCUAUUAUGAAAACUAAUGCAUGAGGUUGAAAGAGGACAUCCAGCAGGAGACUACAAGACAAGAUUUCUGUCAAAGAAAGAGAGCAAGGAUAAUUCCAUACUUCUAAAGAAUCAUAGUUUCUGUUUCAGUAUCAUUCCUGUGGUAAUCAUCUGUCAUUUCUCUGGUAAUCAUCUCACCUGUCCCUUGAAAAGGAGUCUGACAAACAUGGUUCUGCAUGAUGCAGGCAUUCUGAAGUAGACAGAGAAUUUUAAAGUGGCUAUGAAAGGGAAGCAAGACCAAGAACACAAAGACACCUUUGAUUCAACAAUGAGGGAGAAAAAGAAAGAUUAAGUCACAACUGGAGAUGACUGAGAAAUUAUCAGAGGUAUGGUCUAAACAGAAGAAGGCUGUAGAGGAAGCCAUUUUGUGGGACAGGUACUACUCUGUGUUCUCCAGCAUCUUGGCGCCAGUAUAUUCAGUUAUUCACUUUUCAGUUUCUUUUUAUAACUUCUUGUUGUUACUCAUUUUCAGUAUAAAAAUAAGAUACACUAAAAAUUCACUGUAGGGUAAAAAUAUGUAACAAUUAGAGCUCUGGAUAUAAAUAAAAGACAGGAUUUUGACCAGAUGUUAUUAUAUGUUUUUAAUUUCCUUAGUAAAUUACAAAGGUACAAACAACAUUUUGACAAGGGCUUCCUUCACAUUAGAUUAAACAGCUUGCAUGAAGAAAUCUGCUGUGAAUAUAAAAGAUUUUGAGGGAUUCAAUAGGUUCAGUUAGAAAACUGAUUCAAUUUCUGAAAGCCAAAUGAGCUUUCAUUCAAAAAUAAAACUAAGACUGAGUAAUACUCUAAAGUAAGUCUACAAAUUGGAGAGGGAACCUUCACACAAUUGCUGGAUAUUUUUCCCCGCUGUAAAGUGGAAUGGUGAAGAGGUGGAAUUGCUCUUUAUAUGUGAGAAUGACUGGAAUACAUUAAGCUCUCCCUGCAGAUGAGUAGUGAAUAGAGCUAAUGUGUGAGAAUUAAGGGGCAGGCUUAAAGGGCAGGCAAAUAUGAGUGACACCAUUCUGGGUGUUUACUAAAGGAUGUCCGAUCUGGAGGAGGAAAUUGACGAGGCCUUCAACAGACAGCUGAAAGUAGUCUCACGAGUACCCACACUGGUUCACAUGGGGUAUUUCAACCACUGAUAUUUGCUGGAAAAGCAACACUGCCAGACAUACACAGCCCAGGAUGCUUCUGCGGUGUAUGGAAGAUAAGUUUCUGAUGCAGUUAGUGGAGGAGCCAAUGGAGACAGGUGUGCUGCUGGACCUUUUUCAUACAAACAAGGAAGAUGGGUUGGGAAUAUCAAGGUGGGGGGCAGCCUUGGCUGUAGCGACCAUGAGAUAGUGGAAAUCAGGAUCUUACGUGGAAGAAAUAGUGCAGAAAGAUUACAGCCUUGGACUUCAGGAGAACCAACUUUGACCUACUUGGCAGAAUCCUGUGGAUUAGAGCAUUGGAAGGUAAGGAGGCCCAAGAUAGCUGGUUAACAUUCAAGCACCACUUCUUUUAAGCUCAAGAUUGGUGUAUCUCUAAGAGUAAGAAAUCAGGUGAAGGUGACAGGAAACCCACAUGAAUGAGCAAGGAGCUCAUGGAGAAACUCAAAGAAAGUUUUUUGGUCACUUGGAAGGAAUAUAGGAACGUUGUCAAAACAUGAAGGGACGUGACAAGGCAAGCUGAGGAUCACUUGGAAUUAAAUAUGACAAGAGAGAUAAAAAACAACAAGAAAACUUCUUUAAGUAUAUUAGUGGAAGACUAGAGAAAUACGGGCCUACUACUGAAUUAUGUGGUUGCCCUGGUAAUGGAGGAUACUGAGAAGAUGGAGUUACUGAACACUUUCUUAGCUUCAGCCUUUACAGCUAGGACUCAGGAAUCGCAGGCUCCAGAGAUAAGACAGAGAGUUUGGAAAAAGGAAGCCUUUGCCUUGGUUGAGGAGGAUCUGUCCAGAGAUCAGCUAGGCAGACUUGAUGCACACAAUUCCAUGGACCCUGAUGGGAUGCAUUCAUGAGUAAUGGGGGAACUGGAAAAGCGAUUGCUUUGUCAUCUCUGAGAUGUCAUGAAGAAUGGGAGAGGUGCCUGAAGAAUGGAAGAAAGACAGUGUCACUCCAAUCUUCAAAACAGGCAAGAAGAACCUGGGAAAUGACAGGCUGGUCAGCCUCCUCUCCAACCCUGUAAGACAAUGGAACAGCUUACUCUGGAUGUCAUCUCCAAGAAAGCAGAGGUGAAAAAGGGGUGAAAAGACAAUCAGGAAUAGUUAGCAUGGAUUCAUGAAGGGGAAACCAUGCUUGACCAAUCUAGUAGCCUUCUGGGAUGUCAUGACUGGCUGGAAAGAUGAAGGGUAGAGUGGCCAUGAACCCAGGCUUCUGUUAAGUAUGAUGGGAAUGUGAGAGUGAAGCUUAAACCUGUAGACUCACCAUAACGUGAGACUAUAAUUUAAUUUAAAACCUGCAUUACUAAAGCUAGUACAACAACACCCACUGUCUGUAAUUUUUCUUAUGAAAAUUCUAUCCAUACAAAUUUUUGAAAUUCAACCGUAAGUUACUAUGAUAGAUCAUAGUAUGCCAAUUGGAAUGAUUUAGAGUCUAAUCAAGCAGUGCUCCAUUAUCUUGAUCUGACAACCCUGUUGCAGCAAGCACAGAGAAUGGGACAAAAACCUCUUAUUACAGUUCAUCGUGGCAAUGAAGAGAUACGUCAAGUACUGGAGGGAGUCAAUAAGGAUGUAGAAUAUCGAUGGUGGGAAGUCCUGCUUGGGUGAUCUCCUGUAGCAACUGGAGCAACUGAACCUAAUGCUACAACCCACCAUGAUUUCACUAACUCUGAUUAUGUUAACUACUGCUUUAUCCGUUAGGAUCUGGAGAACAGCUAGACAAGUUGCAGUGCUGAAAGGACUCCCUCAUGCGUACAAUACCGUCUACAUUUUCAACUUACAUAAUCGAACAUGACAAAAAAAGGAAGUGUUGUCUUUUUAUAAGCAUAGAGGCAAGAGUAACCACACUGCCACUUUGUGGAAGGAUAGAUUGACCUCUGGCUUUUGGUAUUGCAGAACCCUGAGACACUCUUCAGUCUCAGAAGUCAACAUUAAGUUUUGCCUUUGUUAAAGUAUAAUGAGUUGGGCCAAACCAGCCUGUAAAUCAUUGAAAUCAAGCAAUCCCUGACCGUACUGGAAAUUCCUGCUCCUUGAAUUGUGGUCUGAUCCUAGAGGUACCAGCACUGUACAGUCUGGGAGUACUGGUGCUAUAUGGUUGAGAGGAAAUUCUGGUAUUACCUCACGUGAAUUGUUAGAAAGUUUUCUGACUGAAGUCAAUUAUCUUGCAGUCCUAUCAUAAUGGUCCUAAGCAAAGAGUCCACUCUGCUCUUGAAGAUUGCAGUAGACUGUGAUCCUCGAUCACCCCCUAGCCUGAGAUGUCUCUCAGUGUAGAUUUCUUGAGAUUCACUGUAGACAGAUGUCAAGGAAGAGGAGACAUUUUUUGGAGCAGACCCCAACUGCUUUUUCUCAGUCUGCUGAGAGCUGAUGAAAAGGAAGGGUGAGUAGCUCACCACGGGGUAGAGAGUUCUAAAGCAAACAGCUGAAUUUAGGAACCUCUCCCUCCAGUAUUCUGCUGUAAGUCUCAUAUGAACCUCAUCAUUCUUGAAUUGUUAUGUAAGUUGUUGUACGAUAUUGUAGUAAAUUCCUCUGACUAAUAGAAUCAUAAAAUCUUUUGAGUUGAAAGGACCCUUGAAGGUCAUGCAGUCCAACUCCACUGCAAUGAACAGGAACAUCUACAUCCAGAUUAGUCUGUUCAGAACCUGGUCCAGCCUUACCUUGAGUGUUUCCAAGGACGAGGCUUUGACCACCUCUCUGGGCAACCUGUUCAAGUGCCUCACCACCCUCACUGUAAAAAAAACCAACCAGCUUCCUUAUAUCCAGUCUAAGUCCUCUGAUGGAAUUAUGCCAUCAUAAAAAGUGACAAAUUUGGUUAGGCAGGACCUGUUCUUGGUGAAGCCAUGCUGAUCGUUUCUUGUCACCUCCCUGCCUUCCGUAUGCCUUAGCAUAGCUUUUGGCAGGAUCUGCUCCAUGACCUUCCCCAGGGCUUAGGUGAGGUUAACAGGUGGUUCACUGGAUCAUGCUUUCUACCUUUCUUAAAAAUGGAUGUGACAGUGCCUUUUUUUCUGGUCAGCAGGGACUUCACCUGACUGUCAUGGCUUUCCAAAUGUCACUAAGAGUGUCUUGGUGACUACAUCAGCCAAUUCUCUCAGGACUCUGGGAUGCACUCUGGGUCCUCAUCAGGACCAUAGACUUGUGGGUAUUCAAGUUCCUCUGGUGGUCAUGAACCUGAUCUUUGCUUACAGUGGAUGGGGCAUCACUUCCCCAGUUCCCACCUUCUGAACCAUUGUGUUAAAUUGGCUAAUGAUAAAGUGCUGAUUGUUACUAAGAAUCAUAUGAUCUAAUCUUGUUAUUUAUUGUAAAAUUAUUAAUAAAUCACAAAUUGCUGC
ensembl:lncRNA